UACACUUUAAAUCCUUUAACGAGGAUCUAUUGGAGGGCAAGUCUGGUGCCAGCAGCCGCGGUAAUUCCAGCUCCAAUAGCGUAUAUUAAAGUUGUUGCGGUUAAAAAGCUCGUAGUUGGAUCUCGGUUUCACUCAGGUGGUACACCUUGCGGUGUUCACUAUCUGGGUGGACGUUUCUGUUGGUUCGCUCUUGGUGCUCUUCAUCGGGUGCCAUUUGGUGGCCAGCACGUUUACUUUGAAAAAAUUGGAGUGCUCAAAGCAGGCGUUACAGCCUGAACAUUAGUGCAUGGAAUAAUGGAAUAGGAUCUCGAUUCUAUUUCGUUGGCUUUCGGAGUCGAGGUAAUGAUUAAUAGGGACAGACGGGGGCAUUCGUACUGCGACGUUAGAGGUGAAAUUCUUGGAUCGUCGCAAGACGAACUACUGCGAAAGCAUUUGCCAAGAAUGUCUUCAUUAAUCAAGAAUGAAAGUUAGAGGUUCGAAGGCGAUCAGAUACCGCCCUAGUUCUAACCAUAAACGAUGCCAACCGGCGAUCCGUCGUCGUUAAUUGAAUGACUCGACGGGCAGCCUCCGGGAAACCAGAGUGUUUGGGUUCCGGGGGAAGUAUGGUUGCAAAGCUGAAACUUAAAGGAAUUGACGGAAGGGCACCACCAGGAGUGGAGCCUGCGGCUUAAUUUGACUCAACACGGGAAAUCUCAUCAGGCCCGGACACCGGAAGGAUUGACAGAUUGAGAGCUCUUUCUUGAUUCGGUGGGUGGUGGUGCAUGGCCGUUCUUAGUUGGUGGAGCGAUUUGUCUGGUUAAUUCCGAUAACGAACGAGACUCUGGCCUACUAACUAGAAGGUCUAUCCUUUAUGGGUAGGCCUCUGCUUCUUAGAGGGACGGGCGGCGUUUAGCCGCACGAGAAUGAGCAAUAACAGGUCUGUGAUGCCCUUAGAUGUUCUGGGCUGCACGCGCGCUACACUGAAGGAAUCAGCAUGUUCUCCCCUCCCUGAAAAGGGCGGGUAACCCGUUGAAACUCCUUCGUGAUGGGGAUUGGAGAUUGUAAUUAUUCUCCAUGAACGAGGAAUUCCCAGUAGGCGCGAGUCAUCAGCUUGCGUCGAUUACGUCCCUGCCCUUUGUACACACCGCCCGUCGCUACUACCGAUCGAGUGAUUUAGUGAGGACUUCGGACUGGUCUUCAAGUUGGCUUCGGUCGGCUCGAAGUUCCGGAAAGAUGCCCAAACUUGAUCACUUAGAGGAAGUAAAAGUCGUAACAAGGUUUCCGUAGGUGCCUGCGGAAG
rnacentral:rRNA from 1 species